rnacentral:tRNA from 1 species
GAUGAAAUGGCUGAGCCUAAGCAAUAAACUGUAAAUUUAUUUACGAAUUUAAAUUCUUUCAUCAAAAU